rnacentral:rRNA from 1 species
UGAAAGGCUAAUCAAGCUCAGAGAUAUCUGGUUCUCUCCGAAAUAUAUUUAGGUAUAGCCUCGGAUCAAUUCCGUGGCGGCCGUAGAGCACUGUUUGGUCUAGGGGCCCUACCAGGUUACCGAAAUCAGGCAAACUCCGAAGACCGUCACGGUUACUCCGGGAGUCAGUUGCUGGGGGAUAAACUUCAGCGUCAAAAGGGAAACAGCCCUGACCGACAGCUAAGGUCCCUAAGUUCUAGCUAAGUGGCAAACGAUGUCCGAGUGCAUAGACAACCAGGAGGUUGGCUUAGAGGCAGCCAUCCUUGAAAGAGUGCGUAACAGCUCACUGGUCAAGUGUUCGGGCGCGGAUAAUGUAACGGGGCUCAAGCUAGACACCGAAGCUUCGGGUUCGACGUAAGUCGAGCGGUAGGAGAGCGUUCCCAUGGCAGUGAAGCGGCGGGGGAACCCAGCCGUGGAGCCAUGGGAAGUGAGAAUGCCGGCAUGAGUAACGAAAGAGGGGUGAGAAUCCCCUCCGCCGAUUGCCCAAGGAUUCCUGAGUAAAGUUCGUCUGCUCAGGGUUAGUCGGGACCUAAGGCGAGGCCGAAAGGCGUAGUCGAUGGACAACAGGUUGAUAUUCCUGUACCACGUCGCACUCAUUUGACCGAUGGGGGGACGGGGAAGGCUAUGAGAACCCAGGCGGUGGUAGUCCUGGGUCAAGCACGUAGGGGGAGCUCAUGAAAAAUGCGGAGCUCCAUAACCUGAGGUGUUAUGACAGCCGGCUUAAAGCCAGCGAGUCUCGGACGCCAUGCCCCCAAGAAAAGCCUCUAGGGACGAGAGCACGUGCCCGUACCAAAACCGACACAGGUGGGCAAGUAGAGAAUACUAAGGUGAUCGAGAUAACCAUCGUUAAGGAACUCGGCAAAAUCGCUCCGUAACUUCGGGAUAAGGAGCGCCCCAUUAGGGUGAAGCGCUUUACGCGUGGAGCCUGAGAGGGCCGCAGUGAAUAGGUUCAACCGACUGUUUACCAAAAACACAGGUCUCUGCUAAGUCGCAAGACGACGUAUAGGGGCUGACGCCUGCCCGGUGCCGGAAGGUUACGUGGAGGUGUUAGGCGCAAGCCGAAGCACUGAAACUAAGCCCCGGUGAACGGCGGCGGUAACGAUAACCGUCCUAAGGUAGCGAAAUUCCUUGUCGGGUAAGUUCCGACCUGCACGAAUGGCGUAACGAGUUGAACGCUGUCUCAACGAUGGGCUCGGUGAAAUUGCAGUCUCGGUGAAGAUGCCGAGUACCCGUGGCUAGACGGAAAGACCCCGUGAACCUUUACUACAACCUGGUAUUGGAGUGCGGUGCAUCUCGCUCAGGAUAGGAGGGAGGCUUUGAAGCGCCGGCUGCGGCUGGCGUGGAGCCAACCUUGAGAUACCUCCCUUGAUGUAUUGUGCUUCUAACACCGCGCCGUUAUCCGGGCGGUGAACAGUGCCAGGCGGGUAGUUUGACUGGGGCGGUCGCCUCCCAAAAUGUAACGGAGGCGCGCAAAGGUUCCCUCAGCACGGUUGGAAAUCGUGCGUAGAGUGCAAAAGCAGCAAGGGAGCUUGACUGUGAGACCGACAGGUCGAGCAGGUGCGAAAGCAGGCUUUAGUGAUCCGGCAGUAGCAAGUAC